rnacentral:rRNA from 1 species
GACGAACGCUGGCGGCGUGCUUAACACAUGCAAGUCGUACGGUAAGGCCCUUUCGGGGGUACACGAGUGGCGAACGGGUGAGUAACACGUGAGUAACCUGCCCACAACUUUGGGAUAACGCUAGGAAACUGGUGCUAAUACUGGAUAUGUGCCCCUGCUGCAUGGUGGGGGUUGGAAAGCUCCGGCGGUUGUGGAUGGACUCGCGGCCUAUCAGCUUGUUGUGGGGUAGUGGCCUACCAAGGCGGCGACGGGUAGCCGGGCUGGGAGGGUGACCGGCAACAUUGGGACUGAGAUACGGCCCAGACUCCUACGGGAGGCAGCAGUGGGGAAUAUUGCACAAUGGGCGCAAGCCUGAUGCAGCAACGCCGCGUGCGGGAUGACGGCCUUCGGGUUGUAAACCGCUUUCAGCAGGGACGAAGCUUUUUGUGACGGUACCUGCAGAAGAAGCACCGGCUAACUACGUG